rnacentral:rRNA from 1 species
GGGCCCGCACAAGCGGCGGAGCAUGUGGAUUAAUUCGAUGCAACGCGAAGAACCUUACCUGGGCUUGACAUGGACUAGAAAGCUCUAGAGAUAGAGCCUCCCUUGUGGCUGGUUCACAGGUGGUGCAUGGCUGUCGUCAGCUCGUGUCGUGAGAUGUUGGGUUAAGUCCCGCAACGAGCGCAACCCUCGUUCCAUGUUGCCAGCACGUAAUGGUGGGGACUCAUGGGAGACUGCCGGGGUCAACUCGGAGGAAGGUGGGGAUGACGUCAAGUCAUCAUGCCCCUUAUGUCCAGGGCUUCACACAUGCUACAAUGGCCAGUACAGAGGGCUGCGAGACCGUGAGGUGGAGCGAAUCCCUUAAAGCUGGUCUCAGUUCGGAUUGGGGUCUGCAACUCGACCCCAUGAAGUCGGAGUCGCUAGUAAUCGCAGA